GCCCAGCUAAUUUUUGUCUUUUUAGUAGAGGUGGGGUUUUACCAUGUUGGCCAGGCUGGUCUCGAACUCCUGAACUCAAGUGAUUCGUCCACCAUGGCCUCCCGAUGUGCUGGGAUUACAGGCAUGAGCCACUGCUCCCAGCCCAGUUUAUCUUAUUAACUAUCAGUUCGACGAUAACUGUGUGAAAUACAACUGGUAGAAUAGAGUCCCAGGUAUCAGAAAGUUUACUGCCUUUGAGGGCAAAUUCUUGUGAAUCUUUAAAGUAUCAUAUGCAAUUCAAAUAGGUUUAAAAUGUCAGUACAUAUAUGUAUUAAUGAAGACUGUGGUUGAUCAUGAAUAAUUAACAGAAGCUGAGGAUUUAAAUUUGUGGGGUUUUCUCUCUUUUUUUUUUGUUCUGUGACUCUAGCUAAAGGUGGUUAUUUAAGUAUUUUUAAAAAUUACAUGAAUAUCCAGGUGAACAAUGAUUUACAAAAAAAGAAAGAUGAAAGUGGAACUGUUUUUAUCCAAAACUUAAGAAAUUUCUAGGAUUGAAAUUUUUAAGAAGUUUGAAAUGAUUCCUCUUCAGUUUAGAGAAGAAGGCCGAGAUGGACGAAAAAAUGUGGUUCCUUGUGUUCUCUCUGUAAAUGGGGACCUAGACCGAGGCAUGCUGGCCUACCUCUAUGAUUCUUUCCAGCUGACAGAGAACUCCUUUACAAGAAAGAAAAAUCUUCAUAGAAAGGUACUUAAACUUCACCCUUGUUUAGCCCCUAUUAAGGUUGCUUUGGAUGUAGGAAGAGGCCCCACAUUGGAACUAAGACAGGUUUGUCAAGGGCUAUUUAAUGAGUUACUAGAAAAUGGGAUUUCUGUGUGGCCUGGUUAUUUGGAAACUAUGCAGUCCUCAUUGGAACAACUUUAUUCGAAGUAUGAUGAAAUGAGUAUUCUCUUC
rnacentral:lncRNA from 1 species